rnacentral:rRNA from 1 species
GACGAACCGUACAAACGUUAUUCGGAAUCACUGGGCUUAAAGGGUGCGUAGGCGGCGCUGAAAGUAGGGUGUGAAAUCCCUCGGCUCAACCGAGGAACUGCGCUCUAAACUGCCGCGCUCGAGGAACCUAGAGGUGAGCAGAACUGAUGGUGGAGCGGUGAAAUGCGUUGAUAUCAUCAGGAAUACCGGAGGCGAAGGCGGCUCACUGGGGGUUAUCUGACGCUGAGGAACGAAAGCCAGGGGAGCAAACGGG